rnacentral:lncRNA from 1 species
UUUAAUCUUUUUCUUUCUUUCUUUGUUAUUUCUUUCCUUUUUGGAACUAAACAUCAGUAUUGGAGGAGUCAAGUGGGUAACAAGUAUCUUCACCGCCAGUAUUCCAUAGAAAAUUAGCAUAAUUAGCUGCAUAGAAUGAGUUGCUUGGUUCUGCAGCUAUGGCUUCAAGAAAGGUCUCUUCUGCAGCCCAAAGGUCCUUCCUUACUUGCCAGAGAAAUGUUGCGUACUU